UACGUAGGUGGCGAGCGUUGUCCGGAUUUAUUGGGUUUAAAGGGUGCGUAGGCGGUUCCUUAAGUCAGUGGUGAAAUACUUCAGCUCAACUGGAGAGGUGCCAUUGAUACUGGGGAACUUGAGUACUGAUGAGGUAGGCGGAAUGGACGGUGUAGCGGUGAAAUGCUUAGAUAUCGUCCAGAACACCGAUAGCGAAGGCAGCUUACUAAAGAGUAACUGACGCUGAGGCACGAAAGUGUGGGGAUCAAACAGG
rnacentral:rRNA from 1 species